AAAGAAAGCGUAAUAGCUCACUGGUCGAGUCGGCCUGCGCGGAAGAUGUAACGGGGCUAAACCAUGCACCGAAGCUGCGGCAGCGACACUCAGGUGUUGUUGGGUAGGGGAGCGUUCUGUAAGCCUGUGAAGGUGGCCUGUGAGGGUUGCUGGAGGUAUCAGAAGUGCGAAUGCUGACAUAAGUAACGAUAAAGCGGGUGAAAAGCCCGCUCGCCGGAAGACCAAGGGUUCCUGUCCAACGUUAAUCGGGGCAGGGUGAGUCGACCCCUAAGGCGAGGCCGAAAGGCGUAGUCGAUGGGAAACGGGUUAAUAUUCCCGUACUUGGUGUUACUGCGAAGGGGGGACGGAGAAGGCUAUGUUGGCCGGGCGACGGUUGUCCCGGUUUAAGCGUGUAGGUGUGUGUUCCAGGUAAAUCCGGUUCACUUUAACACUGAGGCGUGACGACGAGGCACUACGGUGCUGAAGCAACAAAUGCCCUGCUUCCAGGAAAAGCCUCUAAGCAUCAGGUAACAUCAAAUCGUACCCCAAACCGACACAGGUGGUCAGGUAGAGAAUACCAAGGCGCUUGAGAGAACUCGGGUGAAGGAACUAGGCAAAAUGGUGCCGUAACUUCGGGAGAAGGCACGCUGACACGUAGGUGAAGUGAUUUACUCAUGGAGCUGAAGUCAGUCGAAGAUACCAGCUGGCUGCAACUGUUUAUUAAAAACACAGCACUGUGCAAACACGAAAGUGGACGUAUACGGUGUGACGCCUGCCCGGUGCCGGAAGGUUAAUUGAUGGGGUCAGCGCAAGCGAAGCUCCUGAUCGAAGCCCCGGUAAACGGCGGCCGUAACUAUAACGGUCCUAAGGUAGCGAAAUUCCUUGUCGGGUAAGUUCCGACCUGCACGAAUGGCGUAAUGAUGGCCAGGCUGUCUCCACCCGAGACUCAGUGAAAUUGAACUCGCUGUGAAGAUGCAGUGUACCCGCGGCAAGACGGAAAGACCCCGUGAACCUUUACUAUAGCUUGACACUGAACAUUGAGCCUUGAUGUGUAG
rnacentral:rRNA from 1 species